rnacentral:misc_RNA from 1 species
AACGCACAUUGCGCCCGGCAGUACUCUGCCGGGCAUGCCUGUUCGAGCGUCAUUUCAACCCUCAAGCCCUGCUUGGUGUUGGGGUCCCACGGCCGCCGUGGGCCCUGAAAGGAAGUGGCGGGCUCGCUACAACUCCGAGCGUAGUAAUUCAUUAUCUCGCUUAGGGCGUUGGGCGGCGCUCCUGCCGUUAAAGAACCAUCUUUAACUCAAGGUUGACCUCGGAUCAGGUAGGAAUACCCGCUGAACUUAA